GAAAGUUUGUCAUAGGUCAAAGUCAAACUUUCGCUUUAGUCUUCCCUGCCUCAUCCUUUCCCCAAGGGCUGCCCAAUGUGCCCAUGAAUCAGAAUCAAGAAGCCAUGGAAGAUUACGGGACCUUGCCGGAAACUAGGGCUCCGUCCAGCUUAUGCCCUAAUACGGCGGCGCAGAGCUCAUUCCCAGUGUCCCGGCAGAGAAGUUAUCGGAAACAUUGGAGGUUGAAUUUUUGUUGUCCUAAACAAAUAGCGCUACUCGUUGUAUGCUUUUGAUUGUUUUGUCUUUGUAGUGUAAAGUAGCAGGAAUUGAUUCAACAUCUUUUUACGUUUGUUUGUUUGUGUGUGUUUGAAUUAUGUUCUAGGAUGUACCGGUACAAUCCUCUCAAAACCAGAGAUUUAUAGCUUUAUUCACCCCCUUGUUUCUGUACUUUGUCUUUGUCGUGUAGGUUUGUAGGAGUUGUUUCUCCUUCUGCUUGUUUUAAAUCUACUGGCAUGUAUCUUCUCAGAAUAUAAUGGAGAUUUAGCCACUCGUAAAGAGUCUAGUUACUUAGCUGUUUUGAUAGUAACUAUUACUUUAUCAGUCCAAGACACAGAAUAUCUGCUUCACUCAACAUGGGAAUAAACAUUUUGAUUUAGUGGUUUUUGUUACAGCAUAAACUAUGUUGUUGGAGUGAUCGAGUUUGAAUGGAAAACAUAGUUUCCUUUGAAUGAUAUGAACUGCAAGUUGAACCAACUAUGCUAUUUAGUUGGUGCCUUGGUGGUUUUCUAAUUUGUGCCUACAGGUUAUUGUUUUGCUUGCAAAACUUGUUCCUGCUUUCCUAUUGCAUCAAAUUUACUUGGUUCGAAUUGCUCUAUAUUUAUGUGUUGUCAAUCCUAGUGUUUAUGAGGGAACUUAAUCUUAAGCUUCAAUAUAACUGCAGACCAGUAUAAUUUGGAUCAUGAUUGCGUUUUUCAUGGUUUUAAAAUUAUAUUUGAAUAUGUGAUUCAUCAUUUUAACUAUGUUUCACUGAAUAAAUUAUAUCCUUGUAUUGAGCUCGUACAUUUAUAGCUUGGAGCUGGGGCUCAUGGGUGAUUGAUUUAUAACCCUUCUUUAUUGUUUACAUGUGAGUUCCACUUUUGGUACGACAAAAUUACAUUCUCAAUAUUGAUUCCCUAUGCUUCAGGACUAACUUGAUUGAGAUUAUGUUUCAUUGAUUAGCACCAGGCAUUAGAACCAUGGUUAUUAUGUUCCUUGACCAUGUAGCUCUCCUUGCCGUCUGUAUGCUGUGUUGGCAAGAAUUAAAACUGACCUGACUACGUGAGAGUGCAGUUUAGCAAGAAGUCAACCCAAUCGAUCCACAUUCCUGAGAAAGGAAAAAAUGUGCAAGAGGAGAGAGUUACUCAUUUGUACUGCAAAGACAGAUUUUAGAACAUUCAUUCUCUAAAACCCUCAUCCUGUAUGUCUGUGUGUGCCUUUUAAACUAACAUUUUAGUUAUAAAUUUCUUUUAGCUUGCAGAUAGGAGGUUUGUACCAUAUAUCUUUGUAGAGAACAGACUUGUUUAUUUUGCGGUUUUGAUGCAGAAGUUGCACGUUUUUACGAUAGUGGAAGGUACUAUAAACAACUAUGGGAGACCAACCCGAAACAUUUACUUAGAUAUGGCAACAUUCUGUCAAACAAUAGAUAUUGAUACUAUCAAGGUACACAGAGUAAUAGAAAAGUAAACCUUCUUCACUUAUUGUUCUGUUGCCCUGCCUUUUGUUUGGGCGCACUUGAGGUACAAUUCAUACAUAUAGUUGAGGCGUUCAAGUGUAAAAAAGUUAUGGUGCUCAACUUCGUUAGACGAUAAUAAUCACAAUAUACUUUGCAUCUUUGAUUCCUUUUUUUUUAAUAACUGUGUUUACUUAAAAUCCUAAUAUAACAGCGAGAAAACAGGGAUGACAUGUCCACUUGCCAACUGCUUGAUUGUACCUUGGAAACCUAAUAAAAAUUUUCAUAAUUUUUAGUAGUACAAUGACAUGUUUAGAAGUGAUUCUUAAAUAGUUAAAAUCACUUGGAAAAUGCUUUUCAUCAUUCAAAAUUAAUUUUAUAGUAUGAAAAAUGUGUUUAAAAUUGUAAAACUAAACAUUGAAAAUAAUUUUGAAUGAUUAAAGAUGUGUUCUAGAGUGAAUUUAAACAUGACAAAAAUGAUUUUAACCAUUUUAAGAUUACUCCCAAAUAUAAGUAGGUGAGGAUAAUUGAUUUGAACUCAUAACUUGUAAAACCUCCCCAGCUUCUGACUGUUGUGCCAAUCUUUGAUGGUUUAUACUUGUCUAUUUUGUAUUUGUUAGCCUCUCACUAAUAUCGUUUUUUUGCAUCUCUAAAUCUGUGCUAAAAGAGUCAUAAUUGUUGUAUCUUAACUGAAAGAGAUGUUGGUUUCCUGAAAAGCAAAAAAGAGAGAGGGAAAGAAAUAAUCAGAAUUGAGGGAAGUUUCUAUCUAUCGAUAUUGAUAGCCAUUACUUUCAAUCAUACGAAUGAUAAGUGUGAACUCUAUGAUUGACUUUGAUGCAAACUUUACGUCUGAUCUUGACAUGAUUUAUUAAUUUGAUGGCUCAUCUUCAGUUCAAUCAUUUGAGAGAAUGAAAGAAGUUUGCUUGGUUGUGAGGAUUCAAAGACGUGGGUCGAUGCCAAAUAUUACAUUCCUAGGAAGUUGACGUCCAACCAACCCCGGGGUCAUUUAAGAGCAUGACGGUACCGCUCUGGCUCCAUCCCUUUUCAUUGUUAUCAUCAGAAGCUUUAUAUGUGUGGCUGACAAUGCUUUGUUUAUCCUGGGCUUCAGUUUCCAUCUUCUUUGUACUAGUUAUGAUUCUUGGUAUUCAGUCUAUGGAUCAUCUCCCUUGACAGAUCAUUCUUUACCUUGUUUGUUGUUCACUUUUAUUCAUUGAUUUAUUAUGUCCUCCUUGUAAGAAUAAUGUUUAGAAUGAAAUCACCAUGAAUUGGCCUGACUAAUGGGAAGAAAAAAACAAUGAAUUUGGAGGAAACACGUUUAAAAUUCAAA